UAUUUUGGUUCUCCUUGGAGAAAUGAUAAAAAAAUACAACGUAAAUUAGACUACACUGGUUCAAAAGCUUGAUUUUCAAUCUGUCAUGACGGUACAAUCCAAAAACAAUCAAAAUUAUUCCCAACCUUCUAGAUGCUCUCUCUCCGUCGAGCUGCUUUACAGACAACUACUUCACAGAGAGUUACAUUUGACUUUCUCGCUCUAAUUCCAAAUUCCCGCAAAAUAUGAGUUCCACUUCUCAGUUCCUGCAACUCCAUCACCAUCACCAUUUCCAGAUCCACAAACCCAUAAAACUUUGCAUUAAACCCAACAAGAUUUUCACUACUAUUGUCCCAAAAGAGCGCUCCUAUUUUUCAGGUCUGCGUAUGUUGGGACCUCCCUAUCAUCUGGGUUCCGUGCCUACAUGUGGGAAUUCAAGAUCAUUAAUCAGCAAAUGUUGGGCAGAAAAUUUUCUCGAGAAGGACAGUUCAUCUAAUUAUACAUCCCAACCGGCGAAGGAGGUUUCCUUUGUUGAGAUUUUGAAGGGGGCAAAUUCUAUUCUGCCUCAAGUGGUUCUUGCAAGUACAAUUUUGGCUCUUAUAUAUCCGCCUUCUUUUACAUGGUUCACGAACAGGUACUACGCCCCAGCGUUGGGCUUUUUGAUGUUUGCGGUUGGAGUUAAUUCUAGUGAAAAAGAUUUUCUUGAAGCAUUCAAUAGGCCAGCUGCUAUUUUUGCUGGCUAUGUAGGACAGUUUAUUGUGAAACCCCUCCUUGGGUAUCUUUUUGGCAUGAUUUCAAUGUCUAUAUUCGGUCUUCCAACUUCCUUAGCUGCAGGGAUCAUGUUGACUUCAUGUGUUAGUGGGGCCCAGCUCUCCAAUUAUGCUACAUUUUUAACAGAUCCACUAAUGGCCCCACUUAGCAUUGUCAUGACAUCACUGUCUACGGCAACUGCAGUCUUGGUUACCCCAUUCUUGUCAUUAUUGCUAAUUGGCAAAAGGUUGCCUGUUGAUGUGAAAGGAAUGGUCUCAAAUAUUGUACAGAUUGUGGUCACUCCCAUUGCAGCUGGGUUACUUUUGAAUAGGUUCUUUCCUCGAAUAUGCAAUGCCAUCCGGCCACUUCUGCCUCCACUUUCGGUGUUUGUGACCGCUCUUUGUGUUGGUGCUCCACUUGCUAUUAACAUAAAAUCAGUCAUGUCCCCUUCGGGGAUAUCUGUUUUGCUUCUUGUGAUUGCAUUCCAUUUAUCAGCAUUUAUUUCUGGAUAUUCCCUUGCUGGUGUUGUCUUCCAUGAUGCACCAGAUGUAAAAGCUCUACAAAGGACACUAUCCUAUGAAACAGGGAUGCAGAGCAGUCUUUUGGCCCUUGCACUUGCAAAUAAAUUUUUCCAAGAUCCACUUGUUAGUGUGCCACCUGCUAUUUCUACUGUAAUCAUGUCGCUGAUGGGAUUCUCUCUUGUAAUGCUGUGGUCUCAGAGGAAAUGAAUUGUCUCUUGAUGAAUGAGUUUUACCAGCACCACUAUAAAUAAGUUUAUGGGUAUCUGUCAGUCAUGGUGGAACAAGUUUGCUGUGGUAGAGUGGCAAGGAAAUGCCAAAGCAUGAUAUAUUAAGAAAAUUGAUGUUUUGAGAUGUGUAAUGUGACUUCUCAUUUUCGUUCAAUCCUUAUAGAAAUUGAAAUCUCGCCUGAAGGUUUGCUAGGAUAUCGAAUGAUCUGAAGUCUUUAGGCAUCAAAGAAAUCACUUGGCUGAUUCCUCAUAGUAGAAAGAGAAGCGUCGAUAGAGUAUUAUUUGUCCAUUAGAUGUUCAGAAGCAAUAGGGGCAUGUUUUGAUGUACAACCACGAUUGGGAUUUGGGAUUAUUAACUGUAUUUGUGUAAUAAGAUGAUGAACAGAUGCUUGAAGAUGACAAUAAAUAUGAGAAUGCUGAAGCUAAGCAGACUGGAGGGCUAAUGAACAAUGCUCUUGUUAUUUCUU